GUAUGAUCCUUCCAUAACAUAUUCAGAUGUUGCCAGCUAAGUUCACUUCUGAACUGUGAGGUUCCUCCAUAUGUCGGCUGAGAUUUGUCCUUGCACAUCCCAAGGCUCAUCUGCAAAGUCUACAGUUCAUAAUGGAGCUACUGUACUGGCUACUAGAAGGAAGAGAUUCUGAAGAUAGGGAGAUUCAGCCAUGGAUCUUUGAAAUUUCCUGUGAUCUGUUUCAAUCUAAAUGCAAAGGACAUGGAAAAAUCAAGUGCUUGGGUGGUUUAAAUAUGUUUUGGAUGUUGCUAUUUGUAGACUAUAAUAUUUUUCCAAUUAAAAUCCUCAGUUGUCAUGCAGAAGAGUAUGAUUCCAUUUGUGCUCUUCUUGCUCACCAAUUUUAUUGAAAAUGCUUAGUAUUAUGGAAUAUCACCAAAUAUUUUCUCUUUUAUCAAAGUAUAAGAAAAAUAAAGUGAAUUUUAUAUGUUGACUUUU